rnacentral:tRNA from 1 species
GUGUGUUUAGCUCAGUAGUAUAAGAGCAGCUCUCACAAUGUAGAAGUUCAUGGGUUCAAAUCCCACAACACACA